rnacentral:tRNA from 1 species
GGAGAGUUGUCCGAGUUGGCCGAAGGAGCACGCCUGGAAAGUGUGUAGGCGCGCCACAAGCGUCUCGAGGGUUCGAAUCCCUCACUCUCCG